rnacentral:tRNA from 1 species
CAAGAUAUAGCUUAAACAAAGCACCUAGUUUACACCUAGAAGAUUUCAUAUAUCACGAAUAUCUUGAA